rnacentral:lncRNA from 1 species
CUGAUAGCCAAAGUGGUGCUCCAGCUGAGUAUGAUGAUGAUGAAGAGGACGAAGAGGAACAUGACAGAGAAUUAGAAGAAGAAGAUGAAGAAGGGGAUGUUUAUGAGUAUGAAGAGGAAGACGAUUUUUAUGAAGAAGUGGAAAGGAAUGACGAGGCGGUUAAAGUCAAAGAAAUAGAGGGUAAUGAUGCAAGAGGAGUACAGAGGGCGCAGUGGAAGUGAGUAAAGGGAAUUAUGAUAAUGGCAAUGGUGCUAAAACAAUGAUGCAGCGAAUGAGGGAAUAGAGGAAGGGGAGAAGGAGAGUAAUGAGCCUUUUGCACAGCAGCCGGGGCUUUUUAUAUGGGACAAUGUUGCAGGUCGACACAGGUAUUAUUUGAUUUGAGUGAUCUAUAAAUAACUGAUAGCUGUACUUUCGUUAGGCUUGUCGAUUAGUCUAGUCUCGUUUUUUGGUGCUGUCUAAUGAUUGUUUGCUGGAAUUUGUGUAGAAGGCUUUUGGCGUAGUAGGUUGAAAGGAGAGAAAGUUCUCAAGUAAAGAUCUGUGCUUUGUGGUGUCAAAAGCAGCCAUCUAGAUGGUCUAAAGCAGCCAUCUAAAUGGUCAGCAACAAUUUGUUCAAACAAGAAGAAUUUGGUAGCAGCAAAUAUGGAAUGAAGAAAAUUGAAAAAAAAAGAAGUUUGAAGAAGAAAAUGGGGAACACAAUUUUGACGAGAAAAAAAAAAUUAAUUAUUAUUUUAAUAGCCAAUUUUGGCUAUAUAAAGGGAGCUCUUCAUUUGGUUUUCUGCAUUCAAUUCCAUUGAGAGAGAAGCAUUGCCUUGCUUUAGAGUUGAGAGUAUUAAAGAGUUUAAUAAACUCUUGAGUGAUUAGUGUUAUGAGAGUUUGGGUGUAUUGGGGUUUUGGAAGUGAGCUAAAAUACUACAAUACUUGUAACUCCUUUUCACUAGUAAAAUAUUUCCUUUUGUCUUCGCCCGUGGAUGUAGGCUGAAAGCCGAACCACGUAAUUUCUGGUGUCCUCUAUUGUGCUUAUUCUUUAUUUUUCUACCAAUUUUGCUUUAGCUGCGGUCCUACUUCACCCAUCAAUUUCCUAACAGUGGUAUCAGAGCUAUUGGUUGUAUUUUUGGAGUCGGGAACUGUUCACGUAAGGGGUACUAUUCACGUAUAUGGUACUGUUCACGUAUACAAUACUGUUCACGUAUACGGUACUAUUCACGUAUACGAUACUGUUCACAUAUUUGGUACACUAACUUGUGUGCAGUAUUGAUCAACAAAAUGGCGACAAAGUAUGAAAUUGAGAAGUUUAACGGAAAUAAUUUUUCGUUGUGGAAAAUGAAGAUGAAAGCUGUAUUGAGGAAAAAUAAUUGCUUGGCAGCAAUUGGAGAAAGGCCCAUGGAGAUAACUGAUGACAAGUGGAACGAGGUAGACGGCAACGCCAUUUCUGAUCUACACUUGGCACUUGCGGAUGGAGUAUUAUCCAGUGUGGUAGAGAAAAAUAAGGCGAAGGAAAUAUGGGAUACUCUCACAAAAUUGUAUGAGGCCAAGUCACUACACAACAAAAUCUUCUUGAAGAGAAAACUCUAUAUUCUUCGAAUGGCGGAAUCUACAAUGGUGACCGACCAUAUCAACACAUUGAAGACUCUAUUUUCACAACUCACAAUGUUGGGUCAUAAUAUAGAGGAAAAUGAACGUGCAGAGCUUCUACUUCAAAGUCUACCAGAUUCGUAUGAUCAACUUAUCAUCAACCUGACGAACAACAAUCCAGUGGAGAGUCUAGUUUUCGAUGAUAUUGCAGCCUCCGUAUUAAAUGAGGAAAGCAGGCGAAAAAAUAAGGAAAAUAGACAAGCAAGUUCGCAGCAAGCAGAAGCGCUAUCGGUGACGAGAGGGAGAUCAAUGGAACGUGGCCCCAGUGGGAGUCAAAAUCUGAGUAGAUCAAAAUUCAGAAGUAAGAAGAAUGUUAAAUGCUACAAAUGUGGCAAGAAAGGGCACGUCAAGAAAGAAUGUUGGAGUAACUAGAAGAGAAAAGAGGGCAAAGAACCUGAGUCAUCAAAUGCUCAGGGUUGUGUAGCAAGCACCUCGGAUGAUGGCGAAAUUCUUUACAGCGAGGCAACAACUGUUUCAGAAGGCAAAAAACGACUUUCUGAUGUCUGGCUUAUAGACUCAGGAGCUACCUGGCACAUGACCUCUAGGAGAGAAUGGUUCCACACAUAUGAACCUAUCUCAGGAGGAUCUGUAUAUAUGGGAGAUGAUCAUGCCUUGGAGAUCGCUGGUAUUGGUACUAUCAAAAUAAAAAUGUUUGAUGGUACAAUUCGCACAAUUGGAGAGGUACGACAUGUCAAUGGCUUGAAGAAAAAUCUAUUGUCUUUGGGAUAAAUGGAUAGUCAUGGGUACAAAACUCAUGUGGAGAAUGAAAUUAUGAAGAUCGUUAAAGGCGCGCUUGUAUUGAUGAAGGCAGAAAAGAUCGGUGCUAAUCUAUUCAUGCUUAAAGGAGAAACACUACAGGAGGCUGAUGCGUGUGUCGCGUCAAAUGGAGAAGAAUCAACGAUGAUGUGGCAUCUCAAACUUGGCCACAUGUCAGAAUAAGGUUUGAAGAUUCUCUCUGAGGGAAAAUUGCUUCCGGGGCUCAAAUCGGUAAGUUUACCAUUUUGUGAGCAUUGUGUUACAAGUAAGCAACAUAGAUUAAAAUUCAGUAGAUCUAUUGCUAGAAGUAAAUGCAUUCUAGACUUGAUUCAUUCUGAUGUUUGGGAAUCACCGGAUAUAUCCAUGGGAGGUGCAAAGUACAUGGUGACUUUCAUUGAUGAUUAUUCCAGAAGAUGUUGGGUGUAUCCAAUUAAGAAAAAGUCAGAUGUAUUUAUAGUGUUUAAAGAAUACAAAGCGCGGGUGGAACUUGAAUCUGGUAAAAAGAUCAAGUGCUUGAGGACAGAUAAUGGUGGAGAGUAUACAGACGGCGAGUUUCUUGCUUUCUGUAAGCAAAAAGGUAUUCAGAGGCAGUUCACGGUAGCAUACACUCCUCAACAAAAUGGAGUGGCAGAGCGGAUGAACAGAACUCUUACAGAAAGAAUAAGAGCUAUGUUGAGGACUGCUGGUCUACCCAAUUCAUUCUGGGCAGAAGCAGCCAAAACUGCCUGUUAUAUAGUAAAUCGGUCGCCAUCUACAGCUAUUGGGUUGAAGACGGCAAUGGAGAUGUGGACUGGAAAGCCAACUGAUUAUUCCUACCUACAUGCAUUUGGAUGUCCUGUGUACGUGAUGUACAAUGCCCAAGAAAGAACAAAGCUGGAUGCAAAAUCUAGAAGAUGUAUCUUCUUGGGAUAUGCUGAUGGAGUAAAGGGGUAUCGUCUGUGGGACCCCACUGCCCACAAGAUCGUCAUCAGCAGAGAUGUUAUUUUUGUAGAAGAUCAACUGCAAAGAAAAGAUGGAGAUGACGACACUGUAAAAGAAAAGUCAAAAACUAUGCCGGUAUAUGUCGAAAAUAAUCCAGAAAAUUCAGAUUCUUCUAAAGCAGCACCAGAGCACAAGAACAAGAACCAGUCGAGUCUGAGGCUCUAGAAGUUCGUCGGUCAACUCGUGAGAGACGACCGCCGGCGUGGCACUCGGAGUAUGUCACAGAGAUCAACGUUGCAUACUGUCUUCUAACAGAGGAUGAAGAGCCUUCAACUUUUCAUGAAGCUUUAGAAAGCUCAGAUAUUGCUUUGUGGAUGACAGCAAUGCAGGAAGAAAUUGAAGCUCUACACAAGAACAAGACAUGGGAACUUGUACCACUACCACGUGGAAGAAAAGCCAUUGGAAACAAAUGGGUCUACAAGAUCAAGCGUGAUGGCAAUGACCAAGCGGAACGGUAUCGUGCAAGAUUGGUGGUGAAAGGAUAUGCUCAGAAAGAAUGUAUUGACUUCAACGAGAUAUUUUCUCCGGUGGUUCGACUCACAACAGUCAGAAUAGUCUUGGCGAUGUGUGCUACAUUUGAUCUACAUCUUGAGCAGUUAGAUGUGAAAACUGCAUUUCUUCAUGGAGAACUUGAAGAAGAAAUAUAUAUGCUCCAACCAGAAGGUUUUGCAGAAACAGGAAAGGAGAACUUGGUUUGCAGGUUGAACAAAUCUUUAUACGGUCUCAAACAGGCGCCGAGGUGUUGGUAUAAGAGAUUUGAUUCCUUCAUCAUGAGCCUUGGAUACAACAGACUCAGUUCAGACCAUUGUACAUAUUACAAGAGGUUUGAAGAUAAUGAUUUCAUUAUUUUGCUGUUGUAUGUGGAUGACAUGUUGGUAGCAGGUCCCAACAAAGAUCGAAUCCAAGAAUUGAAGGCACAUUUAGCUAGGGAGUUUGAAAUGAAGGACUUGGGACCAGCAAAAAGAUUCUAGGGAUGCAAAUUCACCGAGACAGAAAUAACAGGAAAAUUUGGCUUUCGCAGAAGAAUUACUUGAAGAAAAUCUUGCGACGCUUCAACAUGCAAGAUUGUAAGUCAAUUUCUACCCCACUUCCUGUUAAUUUCAAAUUAUCCUCAAGUAUGUGUCCUAGUAAUGAAGUAGAGAGGAAGGAGAUGUCUCGAGUACCGUAUGCAUCAGCAGUGGGAAGUUUAAUGUUCGCUAUGAUAUGUACAAGACCAGACAUUGCACAAGCAGUGGGAGCAGUCAGUCGAUACAUGGCGAAUCCUGGUGGAGAGCAUUGGAUAGCUGUGAAGAGGAUUCUGAGAUACAUUAGAGGAACCUCAGGUGUUGCAUUAUGUUAUGGAGGAUCAGAGUUUACUGUCAGGGGCUAUGUAGAUUCAGAUUUUGCAGGAGACCUUGAUAAAAGGAAAUCCACUACUGGUUAUGUGUUUACACUUGCGAGAGCAGCUGUAAGCUGGGUUUCAAAACUGCAGACCGUUGUGGCUUUAUCUACAACAGAAGCAGAGUACAUGGCAUCUACACAAGCUUGCAAGGAAGCUAUUUGGAUACAAAGGUUAUUGGAGGAGCUCGGGCACAAACAAGAGAAAAUUUCUGUGUUUUGUGACAGUCAGAGUGCUUUGCACAUUGCAAGGAAUCCAGCCUUUCAUUCCAGGACAAAGCACAUAGGAGUUCAGUAUCACUUCGUUCGAGAAGUAGUGGAAGAUAGAAGUGUGGAUUUACAGAAAAUCUAUACCAAAGAGAACUUAGCAGAUGUUUUGACCAAGCCGAUAAAUACUGAUAAGUUUGUCUGGAGUAGAUCCUCUUGUGGCCUAGCAGAAACGUAGGCAACAUGAUUAUGGCGAAGCAGAAAGGAUGGUGUGGAGAUUGAUUGAUUCUCAAUCUAAUCUCCAAGUGGGAGAAAUGUCAAAAGCAGCCAUCUAGAUGGUCUAAAGCAGCCAUCUAGAUGGUCAGCAACAAUUUGUUCAAACAAGAAGAAUUUGGCAGCAGCAAAUAUGGAAUGAAGAAAAUUGAAAAAAAAAGAAGUUUGAAGAAGAAAAUGGGGAACACAAUUUUGACGAGAAAAGAAAAAUUAAUUAUUAUUUUAAUAGCCAAUUUUGGCUAUAUAAAGGGAGCUCUUCAUUUGGUUUUCUGCAUUCAAUUCCAUUGAGAGAGAAGCAUUGCCUUCCUUUAGAGUUGAGAGAAUUAAAGAGUUUAAUAAACUCUUGAGUGAUUAGUGUUAUGAGAGUUUGGGUGUAUUGGGGUUUUGGAAGUGAGCUAAAAUACUACAAUACUUGUAACUCCUUUUCACUAGUAAAAUAUUUCCUUCUGUCUUCGCCCGUGGAUGUAGGCUGAAAGCCGAACCACGUAAUUUCUGGUGUCCUCUAUUGUGCUUGUUCUUUAUUUUUCUACCAAUUUUGCUUUAGCUGCGGUCCUACUUCACCCACCAAUUUCCUAACAUGUGGAAUAUAAUUAAUAGGGACAAAGUAUACUAAAUUACUUGAUAGAUAGAUGCCGAGCUAAUCAUGAGCUAUGAUAGCAUUAUUCGUGCUUUGUGUAUUUUUAUUAGGGCUUGUCUAUUUCAAAGUGUGGAGUAUAGAAUUUUUGGGUUAAGUUUGAGUGAUGAAGUGUUAGAUAGGUUUCUGUUUUGCAUAGUUAAGCCGUCAAUACGAGCUAUCGAAACAGAUAUGGAGCAGGAUAUCUAGUUUUGGGUUUGGUCUUAGUUUGAAGAUGGCUACUGAUUAUGCAGCUAGGUACGUAUUCGUGUUUGUGGAUUUCUAAAUGCUUUCUGUCAAAUGUGACUAGAUUAUUACUAAAAGUGCAUGGAUCUUACACUUAAUUAAUUAUAUAUCCAUUUGUAAUGUUCAAAAUGAUAAUGUACUUUUGCUUGAAAUUAUGCUUUCAAGACAUCAUUUUGAAAAUCCAUGGUUAUAAUGUGUCUCUAAAUUCAGUAAUACAAGUUCUGUCAAUUGCUGUUGGAUGCAGUGACCUGAAUAGUUUAAUAUUCAUUUGCAGAAAGGAGUUGAGAAAGAAAACUAAAAAUUUCUGUGCGUGCUGCUGGAAAUUUAAAUAGCUUCAUUUGAGCAUUAAUUGCCGGCAUGAUCUCUUAGACUUCUCUUGCAUUGAAUGAAUGGAUGAGUGCUAAUCCAUGCAAAGACUUCCAUGCAUGCACAAUGAAUGCUACAUCAAAGGUAUGGUAAAAUGUCAGCAAGCUUGGCCCAAAUUAUCAAGCUGGUUUGGUGGCUGCUAGAUUUGUUCAUCCGGAUUUUGGACCAUUUUCCUUGACAAUGAGAAAAGCUCCAAGAUCUGUAAAUCGAAAACUCAUUGAAAUGCCAAAAGAGAGAUGGAAGUGAAUAAGUAGAGUGUUAGUGAAAAGAGGGUGUAGUGAUUGUGUGGGAAGCUUUGGGUAUAACUGGGGUUUGGAUGUGAGAUAAAAUAUUUUGAGAGUGAAGUUGUAACAAUUUUGUACGUAGAUAAAUUUUUUGUCUCGUUGUCCUUGGCAACUGUGGUUUUUUAUUUGGGUAAUAGAGUUUUUCAGGUAACUCUUUUGUUGUGUGAUCCGAGUAUUCUCUGUUGUAUUUCUUUUAUUUGUUAUUUAUUUGACGUAUUGCUAGCAGAGAUCUUGGGUGGGAAUAAAAAAUUCCCAACAAUUGUCAGUUGUUUUAAACUCUAUUCCGAACAGAGCAUGAAGGGAUUCACUUAUCUAAUUAUGUCAUUUAUGCUUUAACUUCACUUCAUUUCAUCUUGUCCGUCACCUUUACUAAAGUUGUGUAUGUUGGAGUAUUAGGUUCAUCACAAGGAUCAUAUUAUGGCUAAGGAAGGAGCACAGUUUAUUAGCUACACUCAAGUGUAGCAGAGUAUUUGGAUUCAAGACUGUUAUAAGGUUGUUACAGAUGCAAUGCUGUUGCUGUGCAACUGUAUGCCAUGCUCGCAAGUGCGCUGUAACAGAUUGCUCAGCAGGCACCGGAUAUUUUAAGCUAAUUUUGGUAAUUAGUCUAGAG